GUGCUCACUUCAGGAGCAUAUAUAGUAAAGCAGGAAUGCUACAAAGAAGAUUAGCAUGGCCCCUGUGUAAGAAUGCCAUGAAAAUUCAUGAAGUGUUUCACAUUAAA